CAUUACAAAGGUCAUUCUUAAAAAUUCAUCCCACUGGAUAUAUUCAUAGAUGUUGCUGUCUUAUGGUGGAAAACAUUGAUCAAAUUCGGCUCCACGACUGGUGUAUCUAUGUAACACGAGGAAUGGUUCAAGGUUUUCUCAUUCGCCAGAUCUUGAUUGAGGGAUUCGAUGAGCUACCAGGUCUUAUGCCAUUGACCAUGUCCACCAUUCUGUCUAUGUGCGAAAAGACAGGAAGUAGAGCAGAGAUUUCAUAUUAUGAAGUUUACAUGGACAGAUGUUGGGAUCUCCUAGAAGUUAAAGCCAACGAGAUUGCUAUUUGGGAUGAUAUAAAGUUGGUCAAGUGACUCUCUAGUGUCCCAGUUGAUUCCAUGUCUGACUUUCAAGAGGCAAACUCGUCUGGUGUUCAGCGGAGGAAAGUUGCACACACUGCUUUAAAUGUUGUCUCUAGUAGAAGCCAUGGAGUUUCUUGUAUCUCAGUCAAAUUUCAAUUUCUCAAAGCUCGGUCAAGAAAUCCGUCUGUCAUAGAUCAGCCAUUGCAGAAAGUGCUAAGCUUGCCGCCACAGGACAUAGGGAUCCAUUUGUGACCGCAAGGAACUUUUUUGGUGGGGAAACUCUUGCUGCUUCACAUCUAUGGGAACCUUUACAGAAUCUGCAGUUAGCUUCUCCAACCAAAGAAGAUGAGAAAGACACAUCUGGCGAAGAGAAACUAUUGGUAUCAGAGGCAAGCUUUGAGAGUUAACCAAUUGGACCUUGAGAAGAAAUAUACUGAACUGAGUCCUGGCCAAAUGCUCUGCUGAGUCAUCCGUUUGCGUAGAAACAACCAUUAUUUUCAAUCCCUAUAAGUUAAUUAUUAGAAAAGCUAUAACAGAAAGCAAAAGAAAAAAUAUGACAACAUCAUAAACUAAUUCUAAUGGCCUAGAUUAACCAUCGUUUCAUCACUAAACACAAUACUAAACAAACUGUAGUAGAUAUUGUAUAAAUUUGUAGGAAGAAAGUGAGAUCGUGCAUAAUAUAUUGCAAUUUGCAAGUAGUGAAUGAGAACCGUGGCAUUCUUUUGAAACAA